rnacentral:SRP_RNA from 1 species
AUUGUGUCGUUUUCCCCUUAGUCCACCUACUCGGGAGUUUGGUUGCUUUGCCAGUUUGAGGAUCGAAGUCCCAGUAGUCAGUCUUCUAUGGCGUCGGGUAUCAACGCUAAGCUCGGUAUCAAUAUGCAGGUGAAGAAAGAGCUUAUUAGGACCGGGUUGUAAGUAGGAUCGAUUCGAUCCAUGCGGAAACGCGGCAGGAAAAGACCCUGUGUCGAGCAAUGUUGGGAUCGCGCCGUGGAACAGUCUCCGGCUGGCAGCCUAUUCGAUAUAAUUGAACUCCAGCCUUU